rnacentral:rRNA from 1 species
UGCAAACUGCGAAUACCGGAGAAUGUUAUCACGGGAGACACACGGCGGGUGCUAACGUCCGUCGUGAAGAGGGAAACAACCCAGACCGCCAGCUAAGGUCCCAAAGUCAUGGUUAAGUGGGAAACGAUGUGGGAAGGCCCAGACAGCCAGGAUGUUGGCUUAGAAGCAGCCAUCAUUUAAAGAAAGCGUAAUAGCUCACUGGUCGAGUCGGCCUGCGCGGAAGAUGUAACGGGGCUAAACCAUGCACCGAAGCUGCGGCAGCGACGCUGAUGCGUUGUUGGGUAGGGGAGCGUUCUGUAAGCCUGUGAAGGUGUGCUGUGAGGCAUGCUGGAGGUAUCAGAAGUGCGAAUGCUGACAUAAGUAACGAUAAAGCGGGUGAAAAGCCCGCUCGCCGGAAGACCAAGGGUUCCUGUCCAACGUUAAUCGGGGCAGGGUGAGUCGACCCCUAAGGCGAGGCCGAAAGGCGUAGUCGAUGGGAAACAGGUUAAUAUUCCUGUACUUGGUGUUACUGCGAAGGGGGGACGGAGAAGGCUAUGUUGGCCGGGCGACGGUUGUCCCGGUUUAAGCGUGUAGGCUGGUUUUCCAGGCAAAUCCGGAAAAUCAAGGCUGAGGCGUGAUGACGAGGCACUACGGUGCUGAAGCAACAAAUGCCCUGCUUCCAGGAAAAGCCUCUAAGCAUCAGGUAACAUCAAAUCGUACCCCAAACCGACACAGGUGGUCAGGUAGAGAAUACCAAGGCGCUUGAGAGAACUCGGGUGAAGGAACUAGGCAAAAUGGUGCCGUAACUUCGGGAGAAGGCACGCUGAUAUGUAGGUGAAGCGACUUGCUCGUGGAGCUGAAAUCAGUCGAAGAUACCAGCUGGCUGCAACUGUUUAUUAAAAACACAGCACUGUGCAAACACGAAAGUGGACGUAUACGGUGUGACGCCUGCCCGGUGCCGGAAGGUUAAUUGAUGGGGUCAGCGCAAGCGAAGCUCUUGAUCGAAGCCCCGGUAAACGGCGGCCGUAACUAUAACGGUCCUAAGGUAGCGAAAUUCCUUGUCGGGUAAGUUCCGACCUGCACGAAUGGCGUAAUGAUGGCCAGGCUGUCUCCACCCGAGACUCAGUGAAAUUGAACUCGCUGUGAAGAUGCAGUGUACCCGCGGCAAGACGGAAAGACCCCGUGAACCUUUACUAUAGCUUGACACUGAACAUUGAGCCUUGAUGUGUAGGAUAGGUGGGAGGCUUUGAAGUGUGG